rnacentral:rRNA from 1 species
AACGAACGCUGGCGGCAGGCUUAACACAUGUAAGUCGAACGGGCGUAGCAAUACGUCAGUGGCAGACGGGUGAGUAACACGUGGGAACCUUCCUAGGGGUACGGAACAACUCAGGGAAACUUGAGCUAAUACCGUAUACGUCCGAGAGGAGAAAGAUUUAUCGCCCUUAGACGGGCCCGCGUCGGAUUAGGUAGUUGGUGGGGUAACGGCCUACCAAGCCUACGAUCCGUAGCUGAUCUGAGAGGAUGAUCAGCCACACUGGGACUGAGACACGGCCCAGACUCCUACGGGAGGCAGCAGUGGGGAAUCUUGGACAAUGGGCGCAAGCCUGAUCCAGCCAUGCCGCGUGAGUGAAGAAGGCCUUAGGGUUGUAAAGCUCUUUUGGCAGGGACGAUAAUGACGGUACCUGCAGAAUAAGCCCCGGCAAACUUCGUGCCAGCCGCCGCGGUAAAAC